GGAUUAGAUACCCUGGUAGUCCACGCCGUAAACGAUGAUAACUAGCCGUUGGAUUUAUCCAGUGGCGCAGCUAACGCGUUAAGUUAUCCGCCUGGGGAGUACGGCCGCAAGGCUAAAACUCAAAUGAAUUGACGGGGACCCGCACAAGCGGUGGAGCAUGUGGUUUAAUUCGAUGCAACGCGAAAAACCUUACCUACACUUGACAUACUUCGAAUUUUCUAGAGAUAGAUUAGUGCCUUCGGGAGCGGAGAUACAGGUGCUGCAUGGCUGUCGUCAGCUCGUGCCG
rnacentral:rRNA from 1 species